rnacentral:rRNA from 1 species
AUGGUGCUCCCAGAUCUGAAUAGCACUCCACCUGGAGGAGAGGAAGAUGUACAUAUGUCUGAAGAAGAGGAAGAUGUACAUAUGCCUGAAGGAGAGGAAGAUGUACGUAUACCACGGGCAAAACCAGAUCUACCAGACACUCACAAAUUUGCAGCAUAUAUUGCACUAAAAGCACUUAGCAGGGAUGGAGAAAUUGACAAGAGAGACAAAGAACGUGUAGCUGGUCUGCUGAACACAAGUGUCAGAACCGUUGAAAGAAUAUGGAAGGAGGCAAAUGCCCAGCUUGCAAGAGGAGAAGAGAUCAAUGUGUCUAAUAAAAGGAAGCGGAGAUGUGGUAGAAAGAGGGCAGACCUUGAUCUCUCGAGGAUACCUUCAAUUCCCCUCAACAAAAGGUCUACACUGAGGGCACUCGCUAGGUCUCUGGAUGUACCAUAUUCUACCUUGCGGAGAAGGUUCAAAUGGGGAAAGAUAAGGAAACACACAAACAGUCUGAAGCCCACUCUGAAACCAGAAAACAAGCUAUCAAGGCUCAAGUUUUGCAUUUCAAUGAUUGAUCAAACAACAAUAGCAGAUGCAAUGCCCUCUUUCAUUGAUAUGCAGAACAUAGUUCACAUCGACGAGAAAUGGUUUGAUAUGACGAAAAGGAACAGAACCUAUUACCUCCAUGAAGAAGAACCA